AAAAUGUAUCGUUAAACUAUUAACGCAACCUUGUUGGAAGUUGCAUAAGAAGUAUAACUUCAAUAAAAGCCUGAAAAUAACCUAUACGCUAGAGGGAGUAGUUAAGCGUUGCGAACUAAUAAAAGUUAUUAAUAAAAUUUGUCGUCUGGUUAAAAAUAAGUACGAUUUUUCAGUUUUGUAGUUUAUUAGUAAAAUGGUUUUUAAGCUGACAAUGGCAACAAAUCGAUUUGGCAAACGAAAUUUAAAAUCUGAAAAACUUCAAGCAUAUGUUAAUAGUUUGAAAAACUUAGUCUUUAGAAAAGCACUAUUUAAAAAUCAUUGGUAUUCAAACCAUGGAAACCAACAGAUAUUUUCUGCGAAACAGGAAUCACUAUAACUUGAGACCUAGAAAGAAGAAAAGAAACCCCCGGGUCAGCAACAUCGUGAAAAGAAGUCGUCGAAACAGAAAGAAAUGUCCAGCAAUCCGAGUGACCGAUCUCUUGACCUCAAGGACUGACGAGUGUCCCAUUUGCCUGGACAUAAUAUUGGCGGCUCAAAAUUCUCAAUUAUUGACAUGUGGUCACAGCUUCCACAGGACAUGCAUUACGACUUGGUUCAGGCAGAACUUAUCCUGUCCUGUAUGUCGUCAGCGACCUGGUAUCACUUCGUUGAAAGUAUUGUUCCCCUUUGUGAAAUUUUCUCAAACUUUCGCUCUGUGGCUGUGGCAUACUGUUCAAAGGUCUUUGAACAGAAAUACGUAAAAAUAAAAAAUUAUUUUUAUUUUCUUUUAUUCUAUGUUAUGAAGAUCAUGCCAGUCAAUUGAUUCUGAAAAAUCAUAUUAGUGUAAAUGAAUUAUUGUUUGCUUUUGUUAAAUAGUUUUGUUAUUGUUUUUCUUAAUGCCAAAAAUAAAGUCUAUAUCAUUCAUAGAACAAAA
rnacentral:misc_RNA from 1 species